rnacentral:rRNA from 1 species
AAUAUUGGACAAUGGGGGCAACCCUGAUCCAGCCAUGCCGCGUGUGUGAAGAAGGUCUUCGGAUUGUAAAGCACUUUAAGUUGGGAGGAAGGGCUUUAGGUUAAUACCCUGAAGUUUUGACGUUACCAACAGAAUAAGCACCGGCUAACUCUGUGCCAGCAGCCGCGGUAAUACAGAGGGUGCAAGCGUUAAUCGGAAUUACUGGGCGUAAAACAGGGGGAGGUGGGUCAGUUAGGAGGGUGUGGAAAUCCCCGGCCUUACCCGGGGAAUUGCUUCCUUACUUGUGGGGCAGAGGACGGGAGGAGGGAGGGGGAAUUUCCGGGGUGCGGUGGAAUGCGUAGAUAUAGGAAGGAACACCAGUGGCGAAGGCGACUACCUGGACUGAUACUGACACUGAGGUGCGAAAGCGUGGGGAGCAAAC